ACGGCUAACUACGUGCCAGCAGCCGCGGUAAUACGUAGGUGGCAAGCGUUGUUCGGAAUUAUUGGGCGUAAGCGCACGCAGGCGGUUUGUUAAGUCAGAUGUGAAAUCCCCGGGCUCAACCUGGGAACUGCAUCUGAUACUGGCAAGCUUGAGUCUCGUAGAGGGGGUAGAAUUCCAGGUGUAGCGGUGAAAUGCGUAGAGAUCUGGAGGAAUACCGGUSGCGUCGACGGCCCCCGUCAAUUCAUUGAGUUUAACCUUGCGGCCGUACUCCCAGGCGGUCGACU
rnacentral:rRNA from 1 species